rnacentral:rRNA from 1 species
AUUGAACGCUGGCGGCAGGCCUAACACAUGCAAGUCGAGCGGAGCGGCGGACGGGUGAGUAAUGCCUAGGAAUCUGCCUGGUAGUGGGGGAUAACGUCCGGAAACGGGCGCUAAUACUGAAUCCUCUUACAUGAGCCUAGGUCGGAUUAGCUAGUGGGUGGGGUAAAGGCCUACCAAGGCGACGAUCCGUAACUGGUCUGAGAGGAUGAUCAGUCACACUGGAACUGAGACACGGUCCAGACUCCUACGGGAGGCAGCAGUGGGGAAUAUUGGACAAUGGGCGAAAGCCUGAUCCAGCCAUGCCGCGUGAGUGAAGAAGGUCUUCGGAUUGUAAAGCACUUUAAGUUGGGAGGCGUUACCAACAGAAUAAGCACCGGCUAACUUCGUGCCAGCAGCCGCGGUAAUUC